UACAGAGGGGGCAAGCGUUGUUCGGAAUUACUGGGCGUAAAGGGCGCGUAGGCGGCCAACUAAGUCACACGUGAAAUCCCCAGGCUUAACCUGGGAACUGCGUGUGAUACUGGAUGGCUUGAAUUCGGGAGAGGGAUGCAGAAUUCCAGGUGUAGCGGUGAAAUGCGUAGAUAUCUGGAGGAAUACCGGUGGCGAAGGCGGCAUCCUGGACCGACAUUGACGCUGAGGCGCGAAAGCUAGGGGAGCAAACGGGG
rnacentral:rRNA from 1 species